UACAGAGGGUGCAAGCGUUAAUCGGAAUGACUGGGCGUAAAGGGUGCGUAGGUGGUUAUUUAAGUUAGAUGUGAAAGCCCCGGGCUUAACCUGGGAACUGCAUCUAAUACUGAGUAGCUUGAGUAGAAUAGAGGGGAGUGGAAUUUCCGGUGUAGCGGUGGAAUGCGUAGAUAUCGGAAGGAACACCAGUGGCGAAGGCGGCUCCCUGGAUUCAUACUGACACUGAGGCACGAAAGCGUGGGGAGCAAACAGG
rnacentral:rRNA from 1 species